rnacentral:rRNA from 1 species
UACGUAGGGGGCAAGCGUUGUCCGGAUUUAUUGGGCGUAAGAGCGUGUAGGCGGCUUCACAGGUCCGCUGUGAAAACUCGAGCUCAACCUCGAGACGCCGGUGGAAACCAUCAGACUAGAGUCCGGAAGAGGAGAGUGGAAUUCCUGGUGUAGCGGUGAAAUGCGCAGAUAUCAGGAAGAACACCCGUGGCUAAGGCGGCUCUCUAGUACGGUACUGACGCUGAGACGCGAAAGCGUGGGGAGCGAACAGG